GGCCGACUAGCUCAGCUGGUUAGAGCGUGGUGCUAAUACAACUUUCCCACGGUAUUGAUAGGAAUUCCGUACGGAACGCCAAGGUCGUCGGUUCGAUCCCGGCGUUGGCCA